UGCUGGAGGUAUCAGAAGUGCGAAUGCUGACAUAAGUAACGAUAAAGCGGGUGAAAAGCCCGCUCGCCGGAAGACCAAGGGUUCCUGUCCAACGUUAAUCGGGGCAGGGUGAGUCGACCCCUAAGGCGAGGCCGAAAGGCGUAGUCGAUGGGAAACAGGUUAAUAUUCCUGUACUUGGUGUUACUGCGAAGGGGGGACGGAGAAGGCUAUGUUAGCCGGGCGACGGUUGUCCCGGUUUAAGCAUGUAGGCUGGUUAUCCAGGCAAAUCCGGAUAAUCAAGGCUGAGGUGUGAUGACGAGGCACUACGGUGCUGAAGUAACAAAUGCCCUGCUUCCAGGAAAAGCCUCUAAGCAUCAGGUAACAUCAAAUCGUACCCCAAACCGACACAGGUGGUCAGGUAGAGAAUACCAAGGCGCUUGAGAGAACUCGGGUGAAGGAACUAGGCAAAAUGGUGCCGUAACUUCGGGAGAAGGCACGCUGGUGUGUAGGUGAAGCCCCUGCGGGUGGAGCUGAGACCAGUCGAAGAUACCAGCUGGCUGCAACUGUUUAUUAAAAACACAGCACUGUGCAAACACGAAAGUGGACGUAUACGGUGUGACGCCUGCCCGGUGCCGGAAGGUUAAUUGAUGGGGUUAUCCGUAAGGAGAAGCUCUUGAUCGAAGCCCCGGUAAACGGCGGCCGUAACUAUAACGGUCCUAAGGUAGCGAAAUUCCUUGUCGGGUAAGUUCCGACCUGCACGAAUGGCGUAAUGAUGGCCAGGCUGUCUCCACCCGAGACUCAGUGAAAUUGAACUCGCUGUGAAGAUGCAGUGUACCCGCGGCAAGACGGAAAGACCCCGUGAACCUUUACUAUAGCUUGACACUGAACAUUGAGCCUUGAUGUGUAGGAUAGGUGGGAGGCUUUGAAGCGUGGACGCCAGUCUGCGUGGAGCCAACCUUGAAAUACCACCCUUUAAUGUUUGAUGUUCUAACGUUGGCCCCUUACCGGGGUUGCGGACAGUGUCUGGUGGGUAGUUUGACUGGGGCGGUCUCCUCCCAAAGCGUAACGGAGGAGCACGAAGGUUAGCUAAUCCUGGUCGGACAUCAGGAGGUUAGUGCAAUGGCAUAAGCUAGCUUGACUGCGAGCGUGACGGCGCGAGCAGGUGCGAAAGCAGGUCAUAGUGAUCCGGUGGUUCUGAAUGGAAGGGCCAUCGCUCAACGGAUAAAAGGUACUCCGGGGAUAACAGGCUGAUACCGCCCAAGAGUUCAUAUCGACGGCGGUGUUUGGCACCUCGAUGUCGGCUCAUCACAUCCUGGGGCUGAAGUAGGUCCCAAGGGUAUGGCUGUUCGCCAUUUAAAGUGGUACGCGAGCUGGGUUUAGAACGUCGUGAGACAGUUCGGUCCCUAUCUGCCGUGGGCGCUGGAGAAUUGAGGGGGGCUGCUCCUAGUACGAGAGGACCGGAGUGGACGCAUCACUGGUGUUCGGGUUGUCAUGCCAAUGGCACUGCCCGGUAGCUAAAUGCGGAAGAGAUAAGUGCUGAAAGCAUCUAAGCACGAAACUUGCCCCGAGAUGAGUUCUCCCUGAGACUUUAAGUCUCCUGAAGGAACGUUAAAGACGAUGACGUUGAUAGGCCGGGUGUGUAAGCGCAGCGAUGCGUUGAGCUAACCGGUACUAAUGAACCGUGAGGCUUAACCUU
rnacentral:rRNA from 1 species